rnacentral:rRNA from 1 species
UGAGCAAUCUGCCCUUCUCAUCGGAAUAAGCGUUGGAAACGACGUCUAAUGCCGAAUAUGACCUCCUUUUCACAUGAUCGGAGGUGGAAAGCUCCGGCGGAGAAGGAUGAGCUCGCGGCCUAUCAGCUAGUUGGUGUGGUAAUGGCCCACCAAGGCGACGUACGGGUAGCCGGCCUGAGAGGGUCGACCCGGCCACACGUGGGACUGAGACACGGCCCAGCUCCGUAGGA